GACGAACGCUGGCGGCGUGCUUAACACAUGCAAGUCGAACGGAAAGGCCCUGCUUUUGUGGGGUGCUCGAGUGGCGAACGGGUGAGUAACACGUGAGUAACCUGCCCUUGACUUUGGGAUAACUUCAGGAAACUGGGGCUAAUACCGGAUAGGAGCUCCUGCUGCAUGGUGGGGGUUGGAAAGUUUCGGCGGUUGGGGAUGGACUCGCGGCUUAUCAGCUUGUUGGUGGGGUAGUGGCUUACCAAGGCUUUAACGGGUAGCCGGCCUGAGAGGGUGACCGGCCACAUUGGGACUGAGAUACGGCCCAGACUCCUACGGGAGGCAGGAGUGGGGGAUAAUGCACGAUGGGCGGAAGCCUGAUGCAGCAACGCCGCGUGCUGGAUGACAGCCUUCGGGUUGUAAACCGGUUUCGCCGGUGACUGAAGGUGAGUGACGGUAAUGGGUAAAGAAGCACCGGCUAACUACGUG
rnacentral:rRNA from 1 species